UUUCCGCUAUUUUCUUUUCUGUUUGUGCAACGAGACAUAAUUUGAAUUGGACUAUUUAUUAUACAACGGCAACGAAAUACAUAGUUUUGUCGCCCAAUUAAGAUAAUGGGCAACUCAAAACUUAUUUCGUCGCCCAAAUAUGAAUUUGGGCAACAACAACAAUUUUUGUCGCCCAUAAUUUACGCUAUGGGCUACAAAAUCAGCUCGUCGCCCUUGUUUUCAACAAUGGGCCACGACAUUUCUUUUUGUCGCCCUUAAGUUUCAAUUCCGUCGCCCAAAACCUAUUUUCUUGUAGUGGAGACUUAUGUGCGUCCACAAUGAAAGUCAGUGAGAUGGAGCGCUUAGAGAAGAACAUCGCUGAGAUCUUAUGCAAGUUGGAAAAAAUCUUUCCUCCAUCAUUUUUUUUAAUUCAAUGGAGCACUUGCCGGUUCACUUGCCUUAUGAAGCAAAUGUUCGUGGCCCCGUCCAGUAUAGGUGGAUGUACCAUUUCGAAAGGUAACUGAAUUUGUUUUAAGUGUCAUAUAGUAUUGAAUUCGUACAUAAAGUGCUAGUCCUCACCUUACUGAUAGGUUUCUUAACCACUUGAAGCGUAAAGUGGGAAACAAAGCACGUGUUGAAGGUUCAAUAUGCAAUGCCAAUCCUAAUGUCGCUAGCACACCAUGGUCUUGGUGUCCCCGAGUUGUUCAGGGAAGACUGCGGUCGACCGGGAACAGAUGGUCGUUUUCGAUGGUGGCAAGACAAGGAGUACGAUCUAGCACAUCUUUACGUACUUGCAAACAGUGGCAUCUUAAGUGAUUAUGAAAGGUAAUUUGGUGAGAAGUUGUAAAGACCAUUGAGUUACAUUAUACUUGUCCUUUGCCUAACGUGUGGGACAUUACUUACUCAAGGCAAUUCGAGGAUUACAUUGUCAAUUCAAGACCGAACAUUGCUAAGGAUGAGUGUGGAGCAAAUGCGAAGCCGAGUUUCCUAGUUGGUUCAAGACAAAUGUGAAUUUCGUAUAGUAUUUUUAUAACCAUUGAGAUACUUUCAUGUACUAACUUAGUCCCUAAAAUCAGGUCAUUCGUGCCAUGACAUGUGACGAUGUCACUCAAGCUCUUGCUAUGGGUCCUUCCAGACAAGUGACAACGUGGAAUCAAUUCUUUGUGAAUGGAUAUCACUUUUAUACACACGAAUAUGGCAAGAACAAGUCAACCAUGAAUUAUGGUGUAUGUGUUCAAGCUGCUGAUGGAGCUGAUUACUUUGGCAUCUUGGAGGAGGUUAUCGAACUGGUGUACCAUGGUAAUUUGGCUGUUUAUAAGACAAUCUUGUUCAAGUGCAGUUGGAUGGACUCGGACAAGGGUAUGAACAUUCAUGAACAGUACAGACUUGUGGAAGUCAACCACACCAAGAAAUACCCAAAAUAUGAUCCGUUUGUGUUGUCGUACCAAGUUAGCCAAGUAUACUACGCGUCGUAUCCCAGUAUUAGGAGGGAUAAAGUGCAAUGGUGGGCUGUGUUUAAACGAAGGCAAGGUCCAAAGUUGAUGCCCCUGUUGUUUUGGAUGUUCUCCAGGAGGAAAGAACUGAUACCGCUGCAAUUCUUUGUGCUCCAGAUGAGAUACCAGACUAUGAUGCUGGUGACGACAACAAUAAUGAUGAGAUUAUGGAAUUUGAGGCGCCGAAUGAAUAAGGAGAACCAAGUGAAAAUGAAAGCAGCGAUGAGAUUGGUGACUUGACUGACGGUGAUGAUGACGAGGAUGACCUUGAUGAUUAUGAUAUGUUUGAUAACGUGUAGUUUGUUUUGUUACCUUAUGUUGUUUGCUUUUGUUGUAAGACAAUAUGUAUGUCAUUUUAUCGCCUUGUCGUAUUCUAUGUGUAAGACAUAUUGUUUAUUUCUAUUAUAUGUGUUUUAGUCAGAUGAUCUUUGUUUAAUUUCACGCUUUGUAAAAAUUGGUUAAUUAUGUGAUUCCAAUAUUUUGUACUACGGUUUCAUAAUUUGUUGUUUAUAAUAUGUGAUUAAUUUCAAGCUUUGUCAUGCCUUCAAUCUUUGUUGGUGAUUUAUUUUUCGGAUGUCAUCACAUGCCGGAUCUCGAGGUGGUUCUCGUGGUGGGGGGUAGUGGUCGAGGUCGUGGCAGAGAGGGGCCUGAGCCUCAGCCUGAGCUUGAUGACGAGUUGGAGAGGGACGAGGCAGAGGAAGAAGUCAGGGUAGAGGACAAUCAUGGGGUUGGAGUAGUUGACAAGCGAGAGGAGUUGGACCCCAAUGGACUUUGGUUUGAAGACAAUGGAGUCAUUCGCUCUAUGAGUAAAUGCUUCAAGCAACAUUUCCAUCAUCCAUGGAGGAAUUGAUCGCAGGUUGAUGACGACACAAAAAACCAUUGGUUUUCUCUUUUCAAGACCAUAUAUAAAUGGAGGGAGGAGCUUCAAUCCCUAGUGAGGUCUACAUUCGACAAAAAAAUGGCCAAAAGGUUGAAAGAUAAUAACCACUUGAUAGUAAAGAAGAAGGGUGGUGUAUGUUCGACGUGGCUGUCUGUGAGCAUUAAUUCACUAGCAGAUGAUGAAGAAUGCUCAAGACGAGGAGUUCAGAGCCCGAUUUGAGAAGGCCAGCAAGAACCGGCAAGGAGGUGACUUGACCAGCAACGUACCUCCUUCUCAUUGCUAGGGCUCUAUUUCCUCAGCAGAGCGCGCCAAGAGAUUGAUAAGUGUAACUUUUCUUCAAUACAUUUAAUCCAGAAACAUUAUUUAAUUAAUGCGUUUAAACGUUUAGGCCGCACAACGUGGAGGGGUGUUGCCUUCCGCUUUGGACUUGUUCAUGGACACACACAUGAGGGAUGAGUCUGGAAAGAAGGUGCCGAUCAAUGACAAAGUCCUGCAAAUUAAGGGAAGUUAUGACAAAACUCUUGCUGAACGUCAAGAAAAAGGGGAAAACAAGGCCCCGAACAAGAUUUUCUUUGAGACUGUCGGCGGCAGAAAGAAAGAAAGGGUGGGUUCAUGGUUUGGGGACGAGUGCAUACCUCUAUUUUGAGAGGUCUUCGAGGGGGGAGGUAGUUCGUCCUCCAGUUGCACUCCUUCCAUGUUUUCUUAGUUGUCCGCGAGGUUCGAGGAAGAAAGACUCGAGUUGCAAAGAGAACGUGAGCGGAUAUAGAAGGAGAGAGAAGAGGAACGACUUGCCACACAAAGGGAACGAGAGGAGGAGCGCCUUGCAAGGCAAAAGGAGAGAGAAGAGGAACACCUCGCUAGGCAAAUGGAGAGAGAGGAGGAGCGCAGAGUGCAUGAGGACUAACUGGCGCAGAUGAGGAAGACUAUGGAGAGCUAGAACCAGAUGAUGAGCCAAUGUGGUGGUUCCUUCCCCUUUAUCGGGCCUCGAGAGCCCCCCACCGGCGGUGGUGAUGCGUUUGCGACUUAGGCUCCUACUAUUGUUUACAAUAUCUAUCUUGUAUAUUUUUCGGGACGUGAGAACAUAUAAUUUAUAAUUAAUGCAAACAGGUCUUUAGUGCAGAAUUCGGCGCAUUAGCGGACUGCUUGAGUAUAUUUUGUUGGAAAAUGAAACAGGUUAAAAAAUAUUCAAAUACUACAACUUAGGUUUAUUU